UAUAGCAUAAAACCACCCUGAACGCGCCCGAUCUUGUCUGAUCUCGGAAGCUAAGCAGAGUCGGGCCUGGUUAGUACUUGGAUGGGAGAUGAAAGAUGGCUUAAUGCCAUCC
rnacentral:rRNA from 1 species